rnacentral:tRNA from 1 species
GAGCGAGGAGGUCCUUUCGGCUGACUCUUAAUCAGUAGGUUGGAGGUUCGAUUCCUCCCGCGCUCACCA